rnacentral:lncRNA from 1 species
CCUGAUCCCACUGGGAAAUUUGCUUAUGAAAAGGCUGAACAAAAAUGAGCAAGGCAGCAGCCUCUACAGGUGCAUAUCUGGAGUUCAGGAUAAACACCUCCAAGCUUGGAUUUCCUGCCUUCCACUUACGCCAAAGAGCUGGAAGGGAUGGAAGGUGCAGCCUCUACGGGGAGGAGUUGUUACUUCUUGUUCAAAUCACACCUGAAAUCACGCUGGAAGACUGAAGUGAGAAAUCUCCCACUGCCUUGGUUUUAGCAGAAUCUGAAUUUUUCAGCAUCCUUCUGGGUACACAGGCCUUGAGCAUCAAACUUCUUUUUCUGAAGAUAUCUUCUGAACUCGUAUUAUUUUUGCAUUAUGUUUCAAUCUCAUCUCCAAUGUGAAAGAAAAAC